CCCUGCGAGCUCCUUGUCUCCACUGGUUCCGCGAGAGUCCUCUCUGGGCAGGCGGCGGGCGCGGAGUCAUGGAUUCGGCUUCGUGCGGAUUGCUGGCUUCACCCGGCGUGUGACGAGCCGUGGGAUCCAGCUCUGUGGAAAACACAAAGCAAACCUGGGAGAGUGGUGAACAGAUGGAUGAGGGACAAAAUCAUGUCCGUUUCUCAAUCUUGAGAACUGCCCAAGGUGACUCUACUUCUCGCUCUCCUUCAGUAACCUCAAAUCUGGAGGAAGUAAAUGAUAUGUACUGAAAGCCCCAUGGUUACUUUUGGAAUGGUCUACUAGAUUUGACCAGUGCUGGAGAGUAUUCAGUGGAUGAUUUGCAGUUACAUCUGCUAAGAUAGACUGAAAAGUCCUUGCAAGAAAGGUGGUGUGGGGAGACCUUCAAGAUGGCAGAGGAGUAAGAUGUGGAGAUCACCUUCCUCCCCACAAAUACAUCAGAAAUACAUCUACACGUGGAACAACUCCUACAGAA